ensembl:lncRNA
CUCAUAGGACACUAUGAGCCCUGAAAGAUGCACAAAGUAACUUUUCCCAUCAUCCUCUACUUCUUUUCUAGAUGUCAGCCAGGAAGACGUUCCCUCCAUAAUAUCAGAUGAGGAAGACUCUGACCAGUUCAUAGAUGAGGCGCAUCAGGGACCACCUCUGGGAGGACAGCUAUCUAAACACCCUGCUGGUGAUGGAAACAAGGAUGAUGGCCCUCAGCAUAAACCACCCCAUCAUGGAGGCCACCACCACCGUCCUCCACCUCCUACAGGAGAGCCACAAAACACACAGAAACCAGGAGGCCAUCACCAUCAUCGUCCCUCACCUCCUCCUGGAAAGCCCGAGGGAACACCUCCACCUUCCCAAGGGAGCCGCCCAUCAAGACCUCCAAAGGAGCAGUCUCCCCAGUAAUCUAGGAUUCAACGACAGGAAGUGAAUAAGAAGAAAACAGUGUUUCAAACGCCAUGACACACGUGGUCAUGCUCUAACUUCAGUAUACCAAUAAAACAAUCAGCUUGCAAUUUCUGAUGGUGGUGUCUGUUUCUGAGUGUUUGGGACUCUGGAAUCUGAGAGCCAUGUUCACAUUGUACGAACAUCCAGGACCCCUUCUCCUUUAUGUUUCCAGCAAGCUUCUCCCCUCCUUAUCCUUAAGUCAUCUGCCUGGGGAAGGAGUUCCACUGUUUUCCUUCUCUGUCUUCUAUAGCUCGAAUUUAAAUUGUACAAUUAUUUUCAGGUCAUUUCCUGAUAUCCAGUAAGCUUAUGAAUGUAAGAAAAACAAUAUCAGUGAAAGAAAGUCCCAGAAACUGAGAGAAAUUUUAACAAGUUCAAAAGUAACCAAUUUUGUUUUCUAGGGAAAUGAGUAUGGUUCUAUGCCUCUAUUCCCCAGAAGCCAUUAGACCUAUUUUCCCCUAUUUUAUCUUUGAUCAGUUCUUUCCCUGCCUAUGAGUUUUACUAUUCUUAAGAAAAACUAAAUGGAUUUCAUCAGAGGCAGCAUGACUUGAAUAAGCAAAGAAUUUGGAAUCUCUCAGAUUGUAGUUUAACAACUCUCUCUUGCUAACUCUGGACUCAUAGGAAGCUACUUACAUCUCAGAGCCUAAGUUUCCUCUUCUAAAUUUUUGAAUAAUCAAAAUGACUCCCCUAAAGGAUGAAGACUAAGCAGAUCACAUACAUGGAAAACUAGUGGAUAUCGUCAUGUCUGCUUCCCACUAAUGAUUUUAGGAAAGAACAGUGGGCAUGAAAUUGUGAGGAAUUAAAUGCUCCCAAGUCAAAAAUCUUAAGAUUUCUUUGUCAAAAAAUUUAAGUGCAAUAGUCUCUGACAUUGGUUUUCUCUAGGCUUUCAAACAAAAUAGGAACACAUUGCGUAUUCAUAUUUUUUUUUAGCAUUUUCUUUCUUAUCAGGCUCUUUGUAAAAUUCUAAUUAGUUCUUUUUUAAAAAAAUAGUAUCUCCUUAUGGAAAUUUAACUAUGACAAUUAGAAAUGCAGACUUUUGAAAUCUAAGAGAUUUCUAAAGUGUUAGUUAAUAUAGCAAAUUAUUGCCUGCAUAAUGUCAUUUUUUUCUUUGUACCACCCAAAUUAAAAUAUCUAGAAUGAGAAAACAGAGAAGCACUCUAAUUUAUAACAGACAGAAAGUCUAGUU